AAGCAGCAGNGGGGAAUAUUGGACACNGGGCGCAAGCCUGAUCCAGCCAUGCCGCGUGUGUGAAGAAGGCCUUCGGGUUGUAAAGCACUUUCAGCGAGGAGGAAGGGUUAGUAGUUAAUAGCUGCUAAUUUUGACGUUACUCGCAGAAGAAGCACCGGCUAACUCUGUGCCAGCAGCCGCGGUAAUACAGAGGGUGCAAGCGUUAAUCGGAAUUACUGGGCGUAAAGCGCACGUAGGCGGUUUUUUAAGUCAGAUGUGAAAGCCCCGGGCUCAACCUGGGAAUUGCAUUUGAAACUGGAAAACUAGAGUGUGUGAGAGGGGGGUAGAAUUCCAAGUGUAGCGGUGGAAAUGCGUAGAGAUUUGGAGGGAAUACCAGUGGCGAAGGCGGCCCCCUGGCACAACACUGACGCUCAGGUGCGAAAGCGUGGGGAGCCAAACAGGAUUAGAUACCCUGGUAGUCCACGCCGUAAACGAUGUCUACUAGCUGUUCGUGGUCUUGUACCGUGAGUAGCGCAGCUAACGCAUUAAGCAGACCGCCUGGGGAGUACGGUCGCAAGAUUAAAACUCAAAUGAAUUGACGGGGGC
rnacentral:rRNA from 1 species